GCUCUCCUGCGGAGCUACAGAGCUGUCUGUAUGUCUGCUCACGAGUUUAUGGACUAAUAUCGGGAUAGUUUUACAUCUACACGUUAAAUAUGAGCAUCGGGACGUCCACAGAGAACAGAAGACUUGAGAUCUGAGCACCAGUGGACAGUGAAGACUAUGGAACAGAACAUGUGAUGGCUUUGUGUGGAAAGCUGCAGAAGCCAGCCGGUGACUCCUCAUCAGUCUCUCCAGGCAGCACCCAGCUAUUCGUCCAUCUUGCAGAUGAAAAGACUUUGAUAUCACCUGGACACAGCAGGAACCUACGCCAGGAUCUUGUUUGUGGUCUUCAGCUCCGCCUUCAACACCAUCAUCCCGGCUCUGCUGCAGGACGAGCUCUACCAGCUGCACGUGCCCGUCUCCACCUGCAGGUGGAUCACAGACUUCCUGUCUGACAGGAAGCAGCACGUGAGGCUGGGGAAACACCUCUCUGACUCCCGGACCAUCAGCACCGGUUCCCCUCAAGGCUGCGUUCUUUCCCCUCUGCUCUUCUCCCUGUACACCAACAGCUGCACCUCCAGUCACCAGUCUGUCAGGCUCCUGAAGAUCAGACGACACCACCCUCAUCGGACUCAUCUCUGGUGGGGACGAGUCUGCCUACAGAUGGGAGAUGGACCAUCUGGUGACCUGGUGUGGGGAAAACCACCUGGAGCUCAACGCUCUCAAGGCAGUGGAGAUGGUUGUGGACUUUAGGAAGAACGCAGCCCCACCCACCCCCCCCCAUCACUCUGUGUGACUCCCCAGUAACUGCUGUGGAAUCUUUCCGCUUCCUGGGCACCAUCAUCGCCCAGGACCUCAAACGGGAGCAGAACAUCUGCUCCCUCACCAAAAAAGCACAGCCGAGGAUACUCCAUCACCAUCUGGUACACUGCAGCCACAGCCAAGGAUAAGGGCAGGCUGCAGCGUGUCAUCCGCUCUGCAGAGAAGGUGAUCGGCUGUAAUCUGCCAUCCCUCCACGACCUGCAUGCCUCCAGAACCCUGAGGCGGGAAGAUAGUGGACGACCCCUCCCACCCUGGACACAAACUGUUCACUCCCCUCCCCUCCGCGCUCCAUCAGGACCAGAACCUCUCUCCAUCAGGACCAACACCUCUCUCCAUCAGGACCAGAACCU